GGAUCGGCUAACUCCGCGCCAGCAGCCGCGGUAAUACGGAGGAUCCAAGCGUUAUCCGGAUUUAUUGGGUUUAAAGGGUGCGUAGGCGGUCUAUUAAGUCAGUGGUGAAAGUUUGCAGCUCAACUGUAAAAUUGCCAUUGAAACUGGUAGACUUGAGUAUGGUAGAGGUAAGCGGAAUGCGUUGUGUAGCGGUGAAAUGCUUAGAUAUAACGCAGAACCCCAAUUGCGAAGGCAGCUUGCUGGACCAUUACUGACGCUGAGGCACGAAAGCGUGGGGAUCAAACAGGAUUAGAUACCCUGGUAGUCCACGCCGUAAACUAUGAAUGCUAGCUAUUGGCGAUAUACAGUCAGUGGCACAGAGAAAUCGUUAAGCAUUCCACCUGGGGAGUACGCCGGCA
rnacentral:rRNA from 1 species